UACGUAGGGAGCAAGCGUUGUCCGGAAUCAUUGGGCGUAAAGCGCGCGUAGGCGGCCCGAUAAGUCCGCUGUGAAAGUCAACGGCUCAACUGUUGGAUGCCGGUGGAUACUGUCGGGCUAGGAGUACGGAAGAGGCAAGUGGAAUUCCGGGUGUAGCGGUGGAAUGCGUAGAGAUCCGGAAGAACACCGGUGGCGAAGGCGGCCUGCUGGGCAGUACGCUGACAACUGAGGCGCGGACAGCGGUGGGGAGC
rnacentral:rRNA from 1 species